rnacentral:lncRNA from 1 species
GGCAAAUAUGCUAAAUAACAUAUAUGUGCUCACCUAUUUUCACAGCUCUCCUCUUAGGUAGAUGGUAUCCUCAUUUUACAGCUGAAGAAACAAGUUUAGCCAAGUGAAGUAACUUGUCCACAGUCCCCCAGCAAGUAAGUCACAGGGACUCAAGUCUUUAACUCCAAAUCUCACCCUCUCAUGCUGUCACUCAAUAUACUAGUAGGGUUCAACCUGAG